GUCCAGGCCAAGAUGAUCCCCACCUUUCUGAAUCCGCCAAAUCUAAACCUGCUACCACGAUCCUCCAUUAACAAUCAGGCAAUCACACAAUCCCUGUGGUGCGUCGUCCUGCUAAUCAGGCAUCCACCCCCGCGCAACUGAGGAUCAAAUUGGCAGAUCAGAGCAGGGAGGGGAUCGGGGAAUCCAAAAGCAGCCGUAACAAGCAAACGGCACGCAAUGACAUUUGCAUUCUGUAAUCAUAGUAGUAGUAGUAGUACACUUACUGCUUCCCUUUUGAUUGAUGAAUCUAUCUACAGCUAAAUUUCCUGCCCUACUAAUCCGUUUCCCUGUACCAGUACUACUAGUAGUAAUCUACUAUGCACACUUUGGUUGACUGCUUCUUCACAAUCACAACUUCCUUCCUCUACAGUUUUUUUGUUUUGGUAGAAAGCGGUUACCGUCUGAUUGGACUGGAGAGAGACGACGCGUCGUCUGUUGAUGGCAGAUCCGCCGCCGCCCCUACCUGCGCUGGAAGUUGAGGUGCUUGAUGGCGAGGAAGAAGAGCAAGGCGAAGAGGCCGAUGAUGGCGAGGUGGAGGCAGGUCACCAGCUCGAAGUGUCUGUCCUGCAGGCCCAGGUACCCCUCCAGGAACUCGCGCACCGUCUGCUCCCCGACCCCCGGCACCAGGAUCUGCUCCGUCCGGUGCCCCAGCUGCGAGAACAUCAGCCCGUACACCGUCCACGCCGCCGGGUCCGCCCAGUACACCCACCGCCACCACACGGGCAUCAUCUGCACCAUCAACCAUUCCCCUUCCUCAGGUUAUUUUUUUUUAAAUUUUUUUUUUUGGGUGGGGGGAGAGGAUUCUUCCACCCGCACUAUGAAAUCGAUCAGGGAGUGGUACCUCUCUCGCGAUGAUGAAGCCGGAGAAGACGUUCCAGAAGAUGAAGAUGAGGAACGACAGCCCCAUGGCGAUCUCGAUGUUGGGGGUCAGCGCCACCGUCAUCAUCCCGUACAGCGUGUAGUACAUGAAGCUCAUCACCAGGUACAGGAAGAACCACAGGAACUUGCCCGCCGUCAGCUCGAACCCGAUCAUCGGGUACACGAUCCACGAGAAGAUCAGCACCUGCACCAGCAUGUAAGGCUAGAACAUUACCUGAGCAAUGGCGUAGGCCAUGGUGGAGUACAUGCCCGCCGCCUUCUCACGGUAGAGCACGACUCUCUCGGUUGCCACCACCGGCUGCAGGAUGCUGCAAUUCAUGAAUCCCAGGAACAGUGCCGACGCGUAUACGAUCCCAAGUACGUUGAACAAAUCUUGCUGGUCCUUGCUGUUGCACACGAAUUCGUAUCAGGAUCUUAAUCGGGGCAUCAAUAACUAAAGCGUUCAUGAAAGAUGGUCAUCAUGCAUCCGAACCCCAACUUACAUGGUUGAACCGGUUUUCCAGAAUACUACUCCGAACAUGAUCGCAACAGCAAUAGUGUUUAUGAACCGAACAACAUUAUGUUCCGAGUUUUUCCAGUACGCGCAAUUUUGCUUCCACAGGCAAGCCACGCAUUGCGUCGUGAAGUUCUGCCAAUAGCCCUGAGGAAAAUGUAGAUCCUCUGUGUUUGGUUCUGGUUGUUCCAACUCAUCGAUUAGAAGCCUGUUCUCCCUGCAGGGAUCAUCAGUAAUUCCAUUAGAUUCACUUUCACCUUAUUUUUUGUGCCAAUUAACAUAAUAAAUUGAUCUGCAGCUUUAUGGCUGUACUAGUGUGGGUACCUGUAGAGGGAGGAGUUGCGAUAAAUUUCCGCAUAAUCCACUCCAAUCUCAUAUUCUGUUAUUUGUGAACUGAUGUCUAGCAUCCAUGCUGCUGGAUUUUGGCCCUUGUUUAUUCUAGGAACGCCUGGUAUAGACUGUUAAAAAGUGAUUUCAGUAUUUUCUCUUGCUGCAUCUCACAAGUAAAGACAGUUCUCAGGCAAUCUUACCUCGAAAUAUUUUAUCAUGUUGCUAGAUAGUGGUCCUAGCGAGCCAUUGUAUAUGAGCUGACCUCCUCUUUUCAUAAGCAGAAGCUGCAAUUGGACAAAUUGAACAGAAACUUAGAAGAUGAUUUUGUAGCGCCUGUGUAAAAGGACGGUUACCAUGCAUUUCCUUGAUUUUUUCCUACUUUAGGUCAAAGACUGCAGAACAUUAUGGAUAUUACUAUUUACUUGGCCAAUUUAUUUUGUUGUUUUAGGCUGCAAAAUUAAUAUCAUUGGACUAUCAUGUUUCUUAGCUGAUUGUUGUAAUUGUAUAUUUCUCAACCCCUUUAUAAGUUAUACACCAUUUAAACUUCUUCAUACCUCAUCAAAGGAUUCAAAUAUCUCAAUGCUUGGUUGAUGAAUUGUGCAGACAACAGUUCGCCCAGUGUCUACUGUCUUUCGUACUGUUCUCAUGACAAUUGCUGCAGCACGAGCAUCCAAGCCAGUGGUUGGCUCAUCCAUAAAUAUAAUAGAGGGACUAGCUACCAGCUCCACAGCUAUUGUUAAUCUUUUCCGCUGCUCAGCUGACAGGCCCGUUGCACCUGGAAUUCCCACCAUGGCAUUCUUCAAGUCUGUGAGUUCAACUAGACUCAUGACUUCGUCGAUAAACAUCUGAAAUGAAUUUGAAGAGAAAUAUUCUGUCAGAUGCUAUUUUCUAGCAAUGGAAAAGAGGGGUGGGGGAGGUUGAUAAACAUACGUCUCUUUGAUGAGGUUUAACAUUUGAAGGCAGGCGAAGCCAUGCAGAAAACUUCAGUGAUUCAUAAACAGUGAGAUUAGGGGAGUGAAUAUCACUCUGUUCACAGUAACCUGAGAUCCUUGAGAAUGUCUCCUGCUUCUUAGGGUAACCUGCUAUUUUAAUAGUCCCUUCAAUAUAUCCCCCAGUUUUUCUUCCAGCUAAUACAUCUAGCAAUGUUGUCUUGCCCGCACCAGUUAUUCCCAUUAGAGCUGUUAGAACUCCUGGCCUAAAAGCACCGCUGACAUCUUGUAGCAGUUGAAGCUUUUUCUCCGUUACUCCAUUUUUUGUCAUCUCCUGGUGGGAUAUUUGUAUGCUUGUGUUCAAUAGGUGAUUGGAAUUGAUGCAGCUACUGGGUAAGGUUUGAAGUAGUCAAGAGAUUACCUUAGGCAUGUCAACGAAAUAGUUGAUGUGAUCAAAUACAAGGGAGAGGGGUCGAAAUGGGAGGAUAACUUGAUCAUUUGACGAAUUGCCAUUCGCCGCAACCAUCUGACUGUGGUACUUGAAAUUUGCCUUAGUGGUCUUGAUGUUAACUUGAUGCUUGUGGGGAGCUGCAAGUAGUAAACGAGACAUAUAAUUAUCUUUUUCAUCUAUAUUCAAAAUAUUUAUAAGGUUCAUGAUAUAUUGGUAUACUUACAGCUCAUGAACUCCAAUGCCAAUAUGCUGAGGAUGUUGAAGACCAGCGAGUAUCCAAAUAAAAUACUGACACAAAUCCAGUACCACUGCCACUCCGUGAGUAGCCCCCUGAUCUUGAGGAUAGCUUCACCGACGGUGUUUGCAUCGGCAUAAGAAAAUUCCUAUCAAUACCAAAGAUCAAGAACCUUAGUGUAAUUUGAAAAAGGAUUUGCUAGCAUAUAGUUAGCAAGUCCCAAGUGUUUAAAUUAGUGCUUACUAUUGCCCAUCUUUUGUCAUGAAAUUCAUUGAGGGCGAUCGCAUUCUGUGCAUAGGUGAAUGGGGAUGUCCAAUAUCCCCAGCGCAACCAUGGCUGGAGAUCAUCUGUUGAAUGUACAGAACUGGUUAGCAACUUAUUUCACUGAAUCUGUAUUAAUAUUUAUCCUUUGUUACGGGGUAUGUCAUUCACAGAUAUGCGCAUGAUUCAUGGUGCAUGAUAAGCUGAAUCAUCUAACCUUUUGAUAUGACAAAGCCUCCAAGUAUGUAGAUUGCUAUAAGAGCUGCAGUGCCUAGCAUGUUGGCCAUCACUUGUGUCCUUCCUAUGGCUGCUAAGAAGCGAUACAGGCCCAUUGACAUUUGAUGCAUGGCAAAAAGUACCAGAAAGUGCUGGAUGAACCUGCCAUUAGCAAUGGAAAGUUUUUUUUUCUUAUUUUGUCUUAUUGAAGUACCGGAUAUCAUUACCAUUUAAGUGUCAAGAGAUGAUUACCUGAUAGGUGAAGGUGCAUAUCCAAUCACGUAGUAGGUUAAGCCUGUCCAAAGGCCUGUCUCAACAAGCGAUAUCGGGAUGCUAAUAAGAAAAACUGAAGAGAGGAGUGCCCAUCCUGGCAAUGCUAGUAGUUCUCUUUGCUUGUAGAAGGUGGGAAGCCGCUUUAUUGUCAUUGCAAUUUCAGUCAUGCCAUUGAAGUUUACUAUCACAACAGCCAUAAAAAGCGCUCCCAUGUACUUAUUGGCAUCAAGUACGGAUUUAUGGCUCAUUUUUGUUCUCAGGAAAAGUGUGGAGAUCACCAAAGCCAUAACAGUUAUCUGUAUGGUCUUGAAUAUAUGCACCGGAGAGUUUCGUUUUAGGAGCAAUAGUUCUCUUGAAAAGCAUGCCUUGAAAAUGUUCCAUCUGGAGAUCUGGCGACUUGCAUUCAUUUUUACUUCCUUGUUCUUUCCAGUAUUGUUUGUACUGCACAGUUUUUCUUCUGCUAGUCGAGGGAGAUAUGACAUUCGGAAUGCUUCUGCAAAAUUUUCAAUUGAAUGAUACUGAUACUUAUUUGGAUCACCAGCCCAGUACUGCUUUUGGUCCAUCUUUGAGGUUACCUGGUCAGUGGCCAAUUGGAGAAAAAGUGUUAACAUUAUUUUGCACAACAUAUGGUGCAGAAUAUUGGUAGUUACUGCAUGGAAUUGUAAGUCAUCUAUUGCCUGCUUAAUUUUCGGACUUAAUGUAUUGGGUGUAUUAAAAGUAGGUAUCCAUUUUUUAAUCAGUUAGCACUAUUGUUACAUUUAGCUAUUCGCCUAUUCCUUACAUCUGAUAAUUGAUUACCUCUUGUAGAAAAUCCGCUACAUUCUUCCUGCUAGGGCAUUUGAAUCCCAUAGUUUCAAAGAAGUCUGUAGCAUUUUCUCGAGGACCAUGAUACACAAUUUGCCCCUCACAUAAAAGUAUAAUGUCAUCAAAUAAUUCCAAUGUCUCAGGAGGUGGUUGCAACAACGAAAUAACCAUUGUGAGAUCCAUCAAAUGUGCCAUCUGUUGGAGAAAUUUCAUGAUCUCAAAUGUGGUGGAGCUAUCUAGACCUGUUGAUAUAUCAUCCAUAAAGAAACAUCUUGCAAGAUCAACUAGCAUCUCCCCUGCAUCAAAAAAUCAUUUUAAUAAAUUUGUAAUAUGAUGUCAAUAUUGAACUUCUUGGUAGGUGGUAGUCUGGCAGUGGCACUAUCUCCAUAACAAUUUUCUUUAGAUUUGCAUGGAAUGCGCUUUCAUGUGAUUUCCAGCAAUGCAUGCAAAUCCUAGUUUCAUCUAAUUAUAACACCUUGAGGGAUGCUGGGCUCUGAUUUGGUCGAAUAAAUUGUUUAGUUUCAAUUUAUAGUUUAUUAAAGGAACAUAGUGCACUAUUGUUUUUUCUGACUGAAAAGUGGUGUGCUUACCAAUUGUGACUCUUUUCUUUUGCCCUCCUGAUAUUCCUCUUCUCAUCUCAUCUCCUACUAGGGUAUCAGCACACUCGGACAAGCCAAGUAUCUGCAUAUAAUCAAGUGUUACUAUUAUGUUGUCAAGAUAUAUACUUAUAUAGCAAACUGAACGAGUAACCAGGUUACCUUGAUAAUGUAGUUUGUUGUAAGGUUGCUUCCUUCUCCAAAGGUGGUAGCCUGCAGGAAACAGCUGUUUGAGUAACUGAACAAAAUACUAUCCAGUUUUGUAAGAAGUGUAGUACAAUGUUAAACUACCUUAAUGAAUGAAUCAAGAUCCUGGUCCAUUUUAUUGAUGACACCUUUUUUUCUUCUUAUUGCUUCUCCUAGCAUCUCUGUGAUUAUCAUUCCAAGCAAACAGGAGUAUGUAUCAGUUUCUGUGCCAUGGAAAAGUUGAUACAUCUUGAACACUCUAUACAUACUUCUUGCAUUACACUGUCUCAUUGCUGUUAACCGCAGGACAUUCCAAUUAUGUUCAGAAUGAAUAGCACACUAUAUGCAAGAGGAUGUCUUACCAAAUUCAUUAUUGGUUCCCAGCAUCUUGGAAGAGAAGUUGAUCGUCUCUCUUACUGUCAUCUCAGCAUGGUGAAGAUCAUACUGGCUAACAUAAGCACGCAGGGCCGACCGGCCGAGGAAGGCUACUAGCAGCAGGCCGGGGCAUCGGACCAGCUCGCCAUUGUUGCUGCCGCCAUUGACACCGUUUAUGAGGUUUGAGUGACCAGCUCGCCAUUGCCGUUCACUCUUGAGGUCUGCCGUCUGCGUGCGUUGCUUCCUACGCCGAGGGAUUGCGUAGGCUGUAGACUGGCUAACCUAACCAGACAUGGGUUCAAGGCUGACCUAACCUAACCAGGGCCCCAGCUGGCUGGCUGGCUUGGCUGGCUACGAGGCUCUGCGCCUCUGUCUCCGUCGAAAAUCUCAGGACAUGGGCCUGUCGCGAGAGCGUUGAUAUGCAUCGUCGAAGGCCUGCCCGCCCAUGACACUGCUCGAUCGAUGACUUGUGUUAAUUUAUGAUACUUAUAUUUAUUAUUAUCUGGUCAUCUGUAGAUGUGGUUUCGUAUGUGACAUGGAUUGAUACAGUAUUGGAGAACUUAUUAUAGCAUGACCCAGCAGCUCCAGCUGAUGCCUGACAGGAGACUCUGCUUGUCCUACGUGAAGAAAUCCUCGGAAUUUCAGUUACCGGACGUUACGGUGUUCCAGACACUACAGCGUACAGCCAAGUACUCCCUGUGUACUAUAUAUAUUUUUCUGGUAGGAGGAAUUUUACAAGAUAGAUUUUCAA